GAUAAUUGGUUAAUCAAUUUAUUCUGAUAUUAAAAUUUUAUUAAUUUUAUUAAUUUAAUUUUGUUUACUUAAAAUAUUAUUAUUUUAUUAAUUUUGUGAAAAAAUUUUGUUGAUUAUAGUUAACUUGUAUUGUGAAAGUUUAAUUUUAUUUGUUGAAAAGAAUAAUUAAUUUUUAGUACCUUGUGUAUCAGGGUUGAUUAAAAUAUUUAUAUAUAUAAUUAUAUAAAUCUCGAAUCUGAAAGAGCUAAGGUCUUAUUUUUUAAGUAUUUCAUAAUUUUUAAAAAUAUAAUCUUAGUAGUGAAAUGUUAUUCGUUUUUUGAUAUAUCUAGUUUUUUAAGAAAUAAAUUUAAUUUACUAAUUUUUAAAAUUGUUUUAAAUUGAAAAUAUAAUUUUGAAAACGUAAAAUUUUUUUAGGGAAAAGCUUAAAAAAAUAAAUUUAUUUAUUUUUGGGUGAAGAUUUGUAGGUAGGAUUAUAAUUUUCCGUCAUUUUUAGAAUGUUAUAGUUUUCUUAUUAUAAAUUAUUAUUUAUAUAUUUAAUAAGUUUUUUAUUAAAAUUUUGGGUAAAAUAAAGUUGUUUAAGUAAUAAUGAUUGAAUUAGUAUAUUUUAAUGUAUUUUUAAACUUGUAAUAGUGGGUUUAAAUAAUGAAUUCGGCAAUUUUAUUUUUCACCUGUUUAUUAAAAACAUGGCCUUUUGAGAAUAAUUUAAGGUCGUGCCUGCUCAAUGAGGAUUAAAUAGCUGCAGUAUCUUGACUGUACUAAGGUAGCAUAAUCAUUAGUUUCUUAAUUGGGGGCUGGUAUGAAGGGCUUGAUGAGAAAAUAACUGUCUCUUUUAUAAAUAUAGAAUUUUAUUUUUGAGUAAAAAAGCUUAAAUUUGGUUAAAAGACGAGAAGACCCUAUAGAGUUUAAUAAUUGAUUGAUUUUUGUUAAUGAGGCGUAAAAAUUUGCUUAAAUUAAAGGGAUUAUUUUAUUGGGGUGAUUAAAAAAUUUAGCAAACUUUUUUAUUUUUAACUUUGAUUUAAGAUUUAUUUGAUCCGUUUUUAACGAUUAAAAGAAAAAUUACCUUAGGGAUAACAGCAUAAUCUUUUUUUAGAGUUCUAAUCGAUAGAAAGGAUUGUGACCUCGAUGUUGGAUUAAAAUAAACUCUUAGGCGCAAAAGCCGGGUAGUUGAGUCUGUUCGACUCUUAAUAUUUUACAUGAUCUGAGUUUAAACCGGCGUGAGCCAGGUUGGUUUCUAUCUUUAAUAUAAAAAAAAAUUUUAGUACGAAAGGACCAAAUUUUUGGUUAAUAAUUUAUUGUUUGAAUAUUAAUGUUAUUUUGGCAGAAUAGUGCAAUUGAUUUAGAAUCUUUAUAUAUAGAUGUAAACUAUAA
rnacentral:rRNA from 1 species